UUAAGUUCAGCGGGUAGUCCUACCUGAUUUGAGGUCAAACAUUCAAAAGUUGUCUAGCAAGACAAUUUGAAGCAGAACAACAGAGAGCAGUUCAUGUCUAUUGGCGUAGAUAAUUAUCACACCUGGCGACUGGUUACCGCAAACGGUUCCGCUAAUGCAUUUUAGGGGAGCUGACCUGGGAAGGCCUGCAGUUACCCCCA
rnacentral:misc_RNA from 1 species